UCCCAGGAGCCUGAGGAGGCAGUGUCUUGUGAGCAUUCCCACCAUGGAAUGGAUGGUGCUCCUGCUCGGGCUCCUUGCUUACCGCUCAGGUGUGGAUUCUCAGACUGUGGUCACCCAGGAGCCAUCACUGUCUGUAUCUCCAGGAGGGACAGUCACACUCACCUGUGGCCUUAGCUCUGGGUCAGUCUCUACUGGUUACUACCCCACCUGGUAUCAGCAGACUCCAGGCAAGUCUCCCCACAUCAUCAUCUACCACACAAACAACCGGCCCUCUGGGGUCCCUGAGCGCUUCACUGGAUCUAUCUCUGGGAACAAAGCCGUCCUCACCAUCACGGGGGCCCAGCCUGAGGACGAGGCCGACUAUCACUGUGCUCUGUACUUGGUUAGUUACACGUACACAGUGAUGUGAACCCAUGGGGAAGUGCUACCAAAACCUCUUCUUGUGCUCUGA